rnacentral:lncRNA from 1 species
AAAACAAACUCCAUUAUUACAAAUAUGUGCACUUGGUAUUUUAUAAUCUAUUUUAACUUUGGUUGAAUUUGCUGCGGAUAAAGUUUGUUUAGUUUUGUGAAAAUAUUUACUUGGUAUAAUUCCUUGAUCUAUACAGUUCAUGUCUGCUCCUGAGUCUAACAUAUCUAUGGUUUCUAGUUUAAAAUCUUUAAUUGUUAAAGUAAUUUUUACAUACCAUUUUUGAAAUGUAAUUCUAGUAAUAUCAUUAAAUUUUAAUUCCUUUUCUUUGUCUGAGUCAAUAUCUUCUAGUUUUUCUUCUA